rnacentral:rRNA from 1 species
ACUCCUACGGGAGGCAGCAGUGGGGAAUAUUGGACAAUGGGCGAAAGCCUGAUCCAGCCAUGCCGCGUGUGUGAAGAAGGUCUUCGGAUUGUAAAGCACUUUAAGUUGGGAGGAAGGGCAUUAACCUAAUACGUUAGUGUUUUGACGUUACCGACA